UGCUGCCACACUUGAGGCAUCUGCAUAUGAAUCUCACAUGUAGUUGAGAAAUCAUGGAUGUGGCAACUGUGAGUGUUUGAAGAAGUGAAGCAUUGCUGUACUCACAAAAUGCCAUGAAACUUGAAAUUAAACCUAAAGACCUUAUUAGACUCAAAUCACAUAUUUUUGGCAAGAAAAUUGUAUUGUUCAUGCUAUCAAUUGCCUUUUGUGUUAUAUGAGAAGCUGAGUGAUAUGUCAUUGUGUGAAUAUACCACAUAUACAAGCAGUUCCUUAACUAAAGGACCAACUCAGGGAAGAAGUUCAUUGGUACAAACCCCACACCAUGGGACCCCUGGAGGACUAUACCUUAGAAGCAGGGAUGAAAGAGAGACUGCCAUUCCCGUGGUUACAGCUAUUGAAAUGACACCCAUAGAAAACAGAAGAAAAUAAUUAGCUUCCACUCAUUUCCAAACCCAGUACUUUCUGGGACUCAGACUGGCUCUUCUUGCU